rnacentral:tRNA from 1 species
ACUUUGAUAGCUUAUAGGUAGAGCAUAAUAUUGAAGAUAUUAAGGAGAUAGUUUUAUCUUGAAGUA